rnacentral:rRNA from 1 species
GACGAACGCUGGCGGCGUGCCUAAUACAUGCAAGUAGAACGCUGAAACUUGGUGCUUGCACCGAGCGGAUGAGUUGCGAACGGGUGAGUAACGCGUAGGUAACCUGCCUGGUAGCGGGGGAUAACUAUUGGAAACGAUAGCUAAUACCGCACAAGAGUAGAUGUUGCAUGACAUUUGCUUAAAAGGUGCAAUUGCACCACUACCAGAUGGACCUGCGUUGUAUUAGCUAGUUGGUGGGGUAACGGCUCACCAAGGCGACGAUACAUAGCCGACCUGAGAGGGUGAUCGGCCACACUGGGACUGAGACACGGCCCAGACUCCUACGGGAGGCAGCAGUAGGGAAUCUUCGGCAAUGGACGGAAGUCUGACCGAGCAACGCCGCGUGAGUGAAGAAGGUUUUCGGAUCGUAAAGCUCUGUUGUAAGAGAAGAACGAGUGUGAGAGUGGAAAGUUCACACUGUGACGGUAUCUUACCAGAAAGGGACGGCUAACUACGUG